rnacentral:rRNA from 1 species
AACGAACGCUGGCGGCAGGCCUAACACAUGCAAGUCGAGCGAAGCCUUCGGGCUUAGCGGCGGACGGGUGAGUAACGCGUGGGAACGUGCCCUUUGCUACGGAAUAGCCCCGGGAAACUGGGAGUAAUACCGUAUGUGCCCUUCGGGGGAAAGAUUUAUCGGCAAAGGAUCGGCCCGCGUUGGAUUAGGUAGUUGGUGGGGUAAUGGCCUACCAAGCCGACGAUCCAUAGCUGGUUUGAGAGGAUGAUCAGCCACACUGGGACUGAGACACGGCCCAGAAUCCUACGGGAGGCAGCAGUGGGGAAUCUUAGACAAUGGGGGAAACCCUGAUCUAGCCAUGCCGCGUGAUCGAUGAAGGCCUUAGGGUUGUAAAGAUCUUUCAGUGGGGAAGAUAAUGACUGUACCCACAGAAGAAGCCCCGGCUAACUCCAUGCCAGCAGCCGCAGUAACAC